CAACUUGUCCUUAAUGUCGAUGCUUCAUUCACAGAGGGCGAUUAUGCAGGGUCUUGUGGUGCUGUCAUCCGUGAUCACCGGGGAUCUUUCAUGUCGGCGUCCACGGCGAGAUUAGAACAUGUAGCUGAUGUGUUCACGGCAGAAGCGGCAGCUCUGCUUGAAGGACUGAAGCUAGCAAGAGAUACAGGAUGCAGUAACUUGGUGGUGAGAUCGGAUAAUAUCACGGUGGUGGAUGCACUUAAAUUCAAUGAAGGUUACUCUAUGGUGGCAGCGCCGGUUCUUGAUGAAUGUCGUAGUUAUCUAGUAGAUUUCGGGAGGUUUACUAUUGAGCAUUGUAUUAGAGAGUCAAAUUAUGUAGCUCAUGAGCUGGCUAGAUGGGGACGUGCUAAUAAUCCAUCUCGUUGGAUUGAUGCCCCGCCCGAUUUCAUUGUGAGUCUACUAGCACACGAUAUAUCCGUCCUUUGA
rnacentral:rRNA from 1 species